GACGAACCUUGCUAACGUUAUUCGGAAUUAUUGGGCUUAAAGGGUGCGUAGGCGGUGCAGUAAGUUGGGUGUGAAAUCCCUCGGCUCAACCGAGGAAUUGCGCCCAAAACUGCUGCACUAGAGGAAGACAGAGGUACGCGGAACUUAGGGUGGAGCGGUGAAAUGCGUUGAUAUCCUAAGGAACACCGGUGGCGAAAGCGGCGUACUGGGUCUUAUCUGACGCUGAGGCACGAAAGCUAGGGGAGCGAACGGG
rnacentral:rRNA from 1 species